rnacentral:rRNA from 1 species
UACGGAGGGUGCGAGCGUUGUCCGGAAUCAUUGGGCGUAAAGGGCGCGUAGGUGGCCUGUGCAAGCGUGCGGUGAAAGCUCGGGGCUCAACCCCGAGUCGGCCGUGCGAACUGCUGGGCUCGAGCACUGUAGAGGCAGGCGGAAUUCCGGGUGUAGCGGUGGAAUGCGUAGAGAUCCGGAAGAACACCGGUGGCGAAGCGGCCUGCUGGGCAGUGGCUGACACUGAGGCGCGACAGCGUGGGGAGCAAACAGG